rnacentral:rRNA from 1 species
CAGUAGCCGCGGUAAUACGAAGGGUGCAAGCGUUAAUCGGAAUUACUGGGCGUAAAGCGUGCGUAGGCGGUGAGUUAAGUCUGCUGUGAAAUCCCCGGGCUCAACCUGGGAAUGGCAGUGGAUACUGGCUCGCUAGAGUGUGUCAGAGGAUGGUGGAAUUCCCGGUGUAGCGGUGAAAUGCGUAGAGAUCGGGAGGAACAUCAGUGGCGAAGGCGGCCAUCUGGGACAACACUGACGCUGAGGCACAAAAGCGUGGGGAGCAAACAGGAUUAGAUACCCCCGUAGUCCCUGUCUCUUAUAA